rnacentral:rRNA from 1 species
UAGGGAAUCUUCCACAAUGGGCGAAAGCCUGAUGGAGCAACGCCGCGUGAGUGAUGAAGGCCUUCGGGUUGUAAAACUCUGUCAUUCGGGACGAACCGGAGUCUGAGGAAAUGCAGACUCUCUGACGGUACCGGAGGAGGAAGCCCCGGCUAACUACGUGCCAGCAGCCGCGGUAAUACGUAGGGGGCAAGCGUUGUCCGGAUUCACUGGGCGUAAAGCGCGCGCAGGCGGUGAUGUAAGUCUGCGGUGAAAACCCGAAGCUCAACUUCGGGACUGCCUUGGAUACUGCGUCACUUGAGGAUAGGAGAGGCAAGGGGAAUUCCACGUGUAGCGGUGAAAUGCGUAGAGAUGUGGAGGAACACCUGUGGCGAAGGCGCCUUGCUGGCCUAUUUCUGACGCUGAGGCGCGAAAGCGUGGGGAGCAAACAGG